GUGUUGUAUGAAAGGAGAGAAGGUUAGCACUCCCUUUGACAAGGAUGGAAGAGGCCCUUGGGCCUGACAACACGCAUACGGUUAAGGCAUUGCCACCUACUUCAUGGCAUCUAACCACUGUUUUUU
rnacentral:ncRNA from 1 species